rnacentral:rRNA from 1 species
UGAGGAAUAUUGGUCAAUGGGCGCAAGCCUGAACCAGCCAUGCCGCGUGCAGGAUGAAGCAUCUAUGGUGUGUAAACUGCUUUUAUACGGGAAGAAACCCCUCCACGUGUGGAGGAUUGACGGUACCGUAGGAAUAAGGAUCGGCUAACUCCGUGCCAGCAGCCGCGGUAAUACGGAGGAUCCAAGCGUUAUCCGGAAUCAUUGGGUUUAAAGGGUCCGUAGGCGGCCGGGUAAGUCAGUGGUGAAAGCCCAUCGCUCAACGGUGGAACGGCCAUUGAUACUGCUCGGCUUGAAUUACUGGGAAGUAACUAGAAUAUGUAGUGUAGCGGUGAAAUGCUUAGAUAUUACAUGGAAUACCGAUUGCGAAGGCAGGUUACUACCAGUUUAUUGACGCUGAUGGACGAAAGCGUGGGGAGCGAACAG